rnacentral:rRNA from 1 species
AUGGUGAAGGAGAUGGAGAAGAAAUGGAUUAAAUAUUUUGAGGAGUCAUUCUUAACAAGUUGUAUGCCGGUGAUAUAUGAUCCGAGGUACAAGUAUGAGUAUGUUCACUUCCGAUUGACUGCAGCUUUUGGUGGUGGCGCCGAGAAAUAUCUUACCAAGGUGAAGAAUGCGAUGAAGAUCCUAUUUGCUGAAUAUGCAUCUGAAUUUGGAAACACUUUUGAUGAAGUGUCCGCGUCUACCGUGCGUGUCGAGGCCGCAUUCAGCAAUGCUGGAAGGAUCAUCAGUGAUCAAAGAAGUAGUUUCAGCCCGAGUACUGCCGAGACGCUGAUGUGCCUCGAGGAUUGGCUUCGAGCUGUUGAUCGCGAAAAGGCGGAGCCAACAGUUGGAGACCGUGGUGUGAUCAAGACCAUGCUGUAG